rnacentral:lncRNA from 1 species
UUCCUAUCUAGCUCACAAUUUAUGCUCCCAGUGGGGAGUUCAGAACACCACACUCCGGACCCGCUGGAAGAGAGCGUUCUGGGGACAGCAGCAGGCGAAGCCCACGCAGCCUGCGCACGGAGGUGAUUCUCCAGGGGACAGGUAAAAGCAUUGAAUAUGAUCUUGGACAAGAAAGGUUCUCUGUAGCACUGCACUGGUGAAAAUCGAUAGCAAUGGAGCUGUGUCAUCACUGGGAUUACUUUUGCCCUGAACAGUCCUUCGCAAAUGAAAAAUAAAGCAAAGAAAUGUUCUUAUUUUUUAUCUCUGCUUCUGCAUAAAUGUAGUUUACAUACCACUAUACUGCAUUUAUUAAUGUAUGAAAUUUGUUAAUUUUGUAAGUGUCCAUGGGCUUUCAGUUGCUUUAAUGACAAUUGUUAUCCAUAAUUGCAUUUCAAUCAUUCUAUUGCAUGUACAUGCUUCUUACAAUAAUACUAAUAUACUCUUCUGUACACUUACUGUAAUACACGUACUAAUCAACACUGUAUCAACU